AGUCGCGUGCUGGCAGGAGAAAGGAGAGACUGAAGCUUUUGAGCUGGAAAAAAGUAUUAGAUAUAAGUUGCAACCAACUGUGUUGCACAUAAGUUCACUGGUUAUCAGCUACCUUUCAUGUUAAAAGUAGCCACAGUGAGUAAGCAGGCAAAUGCUGCAUUUUUCUGGUGACUUUAAAAAGUACCGCGUGGAGCUAAACUGUUAGCCUUUGUUAGCUCUGGUUGCUAUCAACUGCCUGGAAGUUCAUCUCAAUCUGCUUCCAGAAGUAAGAGCCCUGCAUUUUCCGACCGAGAGACACUAUGCCAUUGUCUUCGGCCGUGAUGCGCUGAGAUCGGUCAGGUUUUUUUUGUAUGCUGAAUUGUUCCUGAGGUGGAUUCCUCCGGUGAAAUAGAUGGCGAGCCUUCCCACCUGGACUUAGAGAGACUGAGAUUCGCUUCUUUUCCACUUGAUGAUCUGCUGCACCUUGCGGUGUGGUAGGACUGUAUCACUCACACUUUCACGCACAGCUGGUUAUACAUAAGACCACUGACUGACAUUCUUUCAUCCCUAUUUUCUUUCACACCCUAGGAAUUUUUUGGACUUUACCCCUUGGACAUUUUUUAUUUGGGACUUUAAAUAAUGAGCUGUUGUGUAGAGCAUUCUCCACAUGUGAAAAGAGUGUGAGAUUUUCAUUUGAAUGUACAUUGGAUUUGUGUAAUCUGUUUCUAUAAGAGUUAAGGAGUCAGGUUACUAGGGUGCACCCGAGCAUUGAAACCCGAACAUUGAAAACCAAAAAUGACACUUGGCCAAGUCAUUGCUUUAGUAGUUUGUGUUUUACUUUUCUUUUAAUUUUUGUAAGUUUCCUUUCUACCAUUGUAAAGUGUCUUUAACCUGUGCUUGUCAACCUUAUGGUUUAUGUCACUAAAGUUGGCUGGUUCUUUUGAGUUACAUUCUUGUCUCUGUGUCUCAUUUGAACACACCCCUGUGCUCCUAUAGUCGAGCCUAUUGGCCCAUUGAUAU
ensembl:lncRNA